GUAUCAAAACCCAAUGUCAGUGUCAUUAGUGAUGAAUAUCCCUGCAAGUUAAUGUGCACUGUGGAGAGAGGGACAGACGCGACCCUGACCUGGUACAGAGGGGAUGAGGAGAAACCCUACAAUAGCUCCCCUGUUCACAGUGCCCCAGAUCUGUAUCUACCUCAGACUGUGGAGAGGAGCGGUACCUACACCUGUGAGGCGAAGAACUCUGUCAAUACUAAUAGAUCAGACCCACUGACUGUAGGAGACCACUGCACAGGUGGAGCUGCAGGCAGCUGGCAGACGGAGGGCUGUAGAGUGUGGAGCCUGGCUCUGGGACUUGUUGUGACGCUGCACAGUCUUCUGGUCUAAACCUGAUGAGUCAGAGCUGCAGAGGGCCCAGCAGGUUUCUGUUCUCCUGUCAUCCUGUCAUCCUGUCAUCCUCCACUUCAUGGGUCUAACUCUGUCCUGGGGGGCCCCCGUGUCUGCUGCCUGUCCCCUCUGUCUGUUCCCCCCCUGUGUCCACUGCACCCUCUCUAUCUGCCAGUGAGACCCUUCAAUCUCAGAUAACCGUCACACGAUAAAAGACAAUUUCACUGUCAUGGAAUUUCAUUUUUCUGAACUUCUUAAACUGUUGCUGAUAGAACUCUGUUUAUUCCAUGUGCUCCUUACCUUCUGAAGCUGGGUCUACUGCAGCUCAGUGUCUCUGUCCACACCUUCUGAAGCUGUGUACUCCAGCUCAGAGUCUCUCUGUGUCCACACCUUCUGAAGCUGUGUACUCCAGCUCAGUGAGUGUCUUUCUCUGUCAACAUUGAUGUGAAAUCCUGCUGUUUCAUUGCCAUUUUAAUUCAACGUUACUCAUGUUAACUGCCUUUUUAUGGUUUAAUUCUGUCAUAUCACUUGUUCAGUUUAAUUUACUUCAGUGUCAUAUCGGUGCGGUUCAGUUUAUAGUUUAAUUCAGUUUUGUAUCCGUUUGUUCAGUUUAUUGUGUAAUUCAGUGUCAUGUCUCUGUCUCUUAUCUGUCUCUCAGGUGUUUAACAUUCAGAGUGGGGAUUCCUUAAUGCUACUGAAUUGUAUUACGUAUUUUAAGGAACAAAUUGAAACAUUUCUGUUGUGUCUGUGAAUUAUUUUCAGUGAUUAUGGGCUCCUAUUCCACAUAUGACACUGAAUUGUUGCAUUUAUAACUGACUCAUGUUCAAAUAAAAAUAUAUUUCUGAAUGG